CACCUUUUGUGCUUAAGUGUAAGAUGCAUGACUACAUUGAUUGUGUACAUCUGAUGAGUUAAGUAUGGUAUGAUGAUGAUGCAUAUGAUAAGUAUGUGAAUAAUGGUUAUAUGAACACCAUAAGGGUGUUGUGUGAUAUGUAAUUGAUGAAUUCUGUGAUAUGUGAAAGAUGUCUUACUUGGUUAAGAAUGAUAUGAAUUAUGUGCAAGUAUGUGUUCUUAUGUUGAUGGAUAUGUGGAUUACUCUAUGUUCAUGAUUUGUUAUAUGUUAUGAUAUAUGAAGCGUUUAAGUUUUUAGGCUGGAAACCUUAGACCUGAGCCAUAGCUCUACGUUAAGGUAUAACAACGCCACCAACCCAAAGCUUCAUGUAUUAUGACUAAAGAUGUUUUGAGUUAUAUGAGAUGUGAUACAAUGCCUUGAUUGAAUACCAUCAACAUCAGUCAUGAACACGAACAUUGGCAUUUCAGCAUCAGCAUGUAUGCAUGGCAUGUACAUUUAUGUGAUACAUUAUUAUGUGAUAUAAGACCAUGCAUAUGGAUAUGAGAAAAGUUAUGAAAUGUCUUGAAAAGUCUUAUGUAAAGUUAAACAUUUUAAUGACACAAGGCUUAAGCAAAGUGAUAAUAAGAUGUUUAAAAAGGGUGCCACUGUUUUGAUGAAGCAAUCAAGUAAGUUCAGUAAAGAAGACGGAAGUCUAUAAGACUUAUAGUGGCUGCCCACUAGUGUGGGCUAGGUCAGAGUUGACCAUUCAGAUAUGUUUGCCAUGUUUCCGUCUUUCUCCUCCAUAUGUGUAAUAAGUAUGGCAGCUAUGGCAACGAUGAAAUGAGUGUUAUGAUGAGCCUAGCUGAGAUGAUGGCUAGCCGGAGGAGAACCCAUGGGAUUCUAUAUGAUAUGUGUAACAAGCCCUGCAGGCAUUGGCUGAAUCAAACAGUGUGCACAAGUGAUAUUGGGCCCAUAAAAAUGUGAAACUAAAAGAAAGAGCAUAAAAGUAAAGUUUGAAAGUGCAUGAGCAAUAAAUGGAAUGCAUAAGUAUAUAAGUCAGCAUAUUAAUAUAUGUGCACUACAAACUCACGACAUUCAUGUGUAUGUGUAUGCAUGAGAUUUGCUUACUGAGCGUUAGCUCAUUAUGUUAUUUUCCAACAUUUUUCCAGGUGUGGCUUUAGCUGUUGAGCAACUUGUGGAGCACGGACUCAGUAGCAAUGCAAUAAUGGUUUAGAGUUUUCAUAUGGCUGCCUUAAAUUUAAAGUAUUCAUACGUGUAAUAAUUUCUUCUAAUAAGUUUAUAUAAAAGUUUUAAAUUUUUCUGUAUUUCUUCGUAUCAUUUUAUUUAAUUCUUUUGGUCAAGUGCCUUACAUACUCGUAAACCCUAGAAUUACGAGUAUGUGGCAGACGUACCCUACCUUAGGGACGUUACAAAUGGUAUCAGAGCUUUGAGUUUGUAGAUGUCGUAUACUCGUUAUGUUAUUAGAUUUUGGGAUCUGAAAUGCUACUGAGUUCCGCCACAAGACAAGCCACACGUUAAUGGUUAGUAUAAUUUAUCCAUAUUUUAGUUAAUGUAUGUUAAUGAUGUUGUAUAAUUGUAUUAGAAACUCAUUGUGUGUUUGAGUUUCCAUGAUAUAAGUAUGAGUUUGGAUUAAAUGAAUAUUCUCAUGCACGGUAGAGAAAUUGAAGUUUGUUAUUUAUCUGAAUGCAUGCCUUUAUUAUUGAUGUGAUAAAUAAUUGAUGAUUUAUCGAUGUCGAUGUUUGGAUUGUUAAUUGAUAUUCUCAAGCUUUGAAAGUGAUCUAUCAGUUCAGUUAGUGUGUUAAGGGUUAAUAUGUCAGGUUAGUGUUUUGGAGAGCAGAGUUUUAGGUUGUUGCUGAGAGCACACACAAUAAGAGACUUUAGUGAAACAGUAGUAAUAUAUAGAAAAAAAAAAAAAAUACAUAAUACAUUAAGGAUUGGGGUUUUGGACACGUUCUACCUCGUCAAUCAACUUUUGUUGUUCAACUCUAAGGGUCUCCCCAGUAGUUUGCAGUGUCUGAAAUUUUUCCUUCAUAUCGACUGAGUAGUUAGCAAGAAGUGUAGUUAAAGUCCCAUUCUCCUUAGCCAACUUCUCCUUCUCUCGAGUCAAUGCCUUGUUGGCAUUUCUAAUGGUUAUCAUCUCUUGUUUUUGUGUUUCUAUAUACCUUUUCAAGUGGUCAACCUCUUGUUCUCUUGCAAGAACCCGUUGGCCUAGGUUUGAGACCGAUGCUGCCGCCUGAGUGGUAAGAACUAAGGAAUCUUUUACAGCUUGUAGGUCUGACCUAUGGGAUAAAAUUAUUUGGUCUUUAGGGGUGAGUAUGCUUUGACCUAUACUAAUGGCCACCUUUUUAUCGAGCAUAGCUGAAUCCUCCACCGUGACAAGGCCAGUAUCAGAAUAAAAUUUGGGAAGCCAAACUCUGGGAAAUUGAGUAUUUCGUUCUGGGAUGUGUACCGUAGGAUACACCAUUAGCUGUGGUAGGGGUGCAGAAAUUUGUGGUGAAGAUUCGAUAGUGGGAAGAUUUGGCUCAGGUAAAGCUAAAGUUAGGUCUAAGUUCAGCUGAGAUGAUGAGGAUGCCAUGGAUUGCUUAGCUUGAGUAAUGGACGGAAGUAAUAAUGAUUUGGUUUUCAAAAGCUUGAGAUUGAUUGUGUUUUAGUGUGUAUGUGAUGAAUUUUAUUUAUAGAAAAAUGUGUUGAACUGUUGGGUCAUUGGAUCCUUGAAUUUGUUUGUUUUCAAGAUAGAUAUCACAGAUUUUAUCUUGUUCAAUGUGUUACGCUAUCCUCUCUGAUGAUGAAAGUCAAACUUAUUAGAUGUUGUCGACAUGGAAAUCACUUCUAUUGAUUUUGCGAUCCUGAUUUGAACAUGGAAACAAUUUGUAAAUUGUUGAAUGAAUCGAGGUGAUAAAUGUUAUUUACUGAAUUACUCUGUAGUGUGAAUUACUUUCGGCGAUUAAAUUAUAGUAUAUUAGCUGUUUUAUCCCGAAAGUAAGAUAAUGUAUUACUUGUGUGAAGUGAUGACUGAGUAUUAUUGGUAUAGGUGUUGAAAUGAGACAUGUCCAACUUAUUAGACAUGUGAGAAUUAUUCGUUUUCGUAGAUGAAGUGGUGGAUUGGUCAGUCAAGACUUAUCCCAUGUUUUAUUCAAUGAAGGGAUACUAAGCUAAGUGUGUGAAUUUCCGAGUGGCCACGGUUAUUUGCAUUCUAGCAUAGUAUCAAUAUGCCCUUUAUUAUUUUAUACAUUUGGAAACAAUUUUGAUUUUUAAAUGUUUUCUUAGAGAAAGAAUGAGAGUCAGGCUUUUCUGAACUGGUACCUAAUGAAUGGCCUAUCUCACUAUUUCUCAUUCAGGGCAAGAAGUCGGUUUUGACAACGAAAGGGUUUCACAGAGACUUGGUUUUAAAGAAUAAUCUUCAUCGGCUAUAUAAUUGUUUUCUAGUUAUCCAAUUUUUUUUAUGCCGAAAAACUUUCUAUUGAACAAACUUGUUGCUCAAUUUAGCAUCUAUUAUCAAGGUAUAACCAGUCAUUUGCAUCUGCUUAAAAAAAAAAAAAAAAAAAUUGACUGUAAAACAUGAAGAUCAAGGAUGUUUUCAUGAUGAUGGUCAUUUUCUCUUCUUACGUUAUGUGGUUUGUGUUCAAAAGUAUGGAUGAUGAGGAUUCGUUUGUAUUUUCGUAUACAUUCAUUGUAAUUUAUACUAUUGUUAUAGCUUAUUUCCUUUCUAUCUAUAUUGUAGUCCUCAUGUGAGGUGUUUACACAUCCUCGCCUUUUUAUAUAUGAUAAGGAUUACAAGAAGUCAGGAAUAAGUUUUGUUUUCGGGGUGAAAGUAAGUGUUGUGUAUAAAAUCUUAUGCUGUGAAAUGUUGUUCUGUUUAUUUGUAAUGGUAGUUCUUGUCUCCGAUUAUCAAAUUUUAGUUUGAAAUUUCGAGGACGAAAUUAUUUUAACGGGGGAAGGAUUGUAAUAUCCAACAUUUUCAUAAUACAUUUAUUUAUUAUAAAUCAAAGUUUUAAUACAUAAAAUGUACAACUUUACAAAUUUAAGAAAUAGUAAUGGAAAAAUAGUGUUUAAAAUAUGAUUUUAUGUUUUUAAUGAGAUUAAAGAAAGAGAAACUUGAGUAGUCAAGUAUUGGACCCAAAUGUCAUAUAAUUUUAAUUGGGGAUUUUUAUAAAAUUAAGAAAGUUUGGCUAAAGGGCUUAUUUGAAAAGAAUUUUAGUAUUUUGGGUCCAAGUAUAAUUUUUAAAAAUAAAUAAAUAAAUAAAUAAAAUAAAAUAAAAAUAAAAUAAAAGGCUUCAGCCUUUCAUUUUACCCGAGCCCCUCUCUCUCUCUCCUCAGAAACUCUUUCCCUCUCUCUCUCUCUCUCUCUCUCUCCUCUGCGUAUUACUGUUGCCGACGACGCAGGAGUACUUUCCGGCCACCAUUUUUAGCCACGCGCCGGACCGUUGGAUUCAGAGGCCUCCGAACUAUCGACCCACGCGGGAAUCUAGAGCUCACUCGCCGAUUAAACGCCUCAACCACUCGAUUUAAGUUCGGCCACCCCGCGACUUCAAAGUUGCGAUUCGGCCACCUCGGGCAUCCGUUUGCCGAUCCGUCACCACCAUCGUGUUCCUCGUGUUGUGGGCUUCAAAACCCAAUAACUUGUUCCUACAUCUACCAUAGUUGGGUGGUGGGCCCACCACGAGCCACCGCGAUCCACCGUAGACCGACGGUCGAAACUUAGUGUUCGAGGUUCCGAAGUACGUUUUGAGUCUCAGAAAAUCAUCGUUUGACUUAUUGUGGAACCCGAUCAUUUUGGAUUUGUAUGGAUUUGAUUGAUUGACUCUUGGUGAGCCGUUUUAAAAUAAGCUAAGGACCUAAGGUGUGGCUUUAGCUGUUGAGCAACUUGUAGAGCACGGACUCAGUAGCAAUGCAAUAAUGGUUUAGAGUUUUCAUAUGGCUGCCUUAAAUUUAAAGUAUUCAUACGUGUAAUAAUUUCUUCUAAUAAGUUUAUAUAAAAGUUUUAAAUUUUUCUGUAUUUCUUCGUAUCAUUUUAUUUAAU